CCUCUUCCAAUCGGAAGGAACCACGCCUAUAUACCGCAUGUCGGCGCAAGCUGACUAUGGUGAUAAAUGGACGGUGUAAUAAACCCAUUGGACCCGGGGCGGUACCCGGCGCCUCCACCAGAAUACAGAUUGUCGAUGCCGAUAUCGGUUGCCGGUUUGUGUUGUGGCGGGGGCGAAACAGGAUCGACAAGGGUGUAAAGAUCGCUCUUUACUCGGCAUGAUACCACCGUUAUCGGGUCAAUUGAGUAGUUGCAAAUGACAACAAAGCUCAGGGUUACGCUCUCGCUGCCUAAUGGCGGUGCGGGAAACCCACUCUAAGCCCUUGGGGUUAGCACCUUAAGGCGGGGUUCGGAGGCACCUGGCAACAGAAGCCUCCACU
rnacentral:tmRNA from 1 species